GACCCAUAUUCCUCCCUGUGGGUCUUGCUAACAGAUCUCCUCACCUGAACGCCUGAACAUUAUGCAGAUGAGAGACCAUCCAGCAACCAGAAGCCAUAGCAGAAACCAGCACAGAGAGAACCAACAGGGGGAAGCAGUGGUCUGCACUUCAUUGUGUCUUUAAGUCUUGGACAAUGCUGCCGUUGCUGGGAUCCCACUUAAACCCCCUCUCUCUUUGCUGAGGAGCCCAGAACCCAAAUCUCCAGAACUUCAGUGAGAGUCAGUGUGUACUGAAAGUGUUGGGUCGGAUCCAGUCUUCCUCUGAGAUAUAUGGAGACUUAAAGUUGGAUUCCAUUUUCACUUUCCAGAAAUCUCUCCAUCCAGCAUCCCUGUCCCCCAGAAGUGGCUCCGCUGCCCCUGAUGACAAACUGAUGAAAGGAAACAUCUCCAUGUUGCUGGAGCGCAACUGAACCUCCCACAGACAGCCUACAAGUGAGCGGCCUUACUGCUUCCUGCCCUCGCUCCAUCUCUCAUCUGUCCUUCACGUCAGAGCAUGUAGGGGAUGUCAGUCAGGAAAAUUUGCCCCGCUGCAAACGAGGGUCACGUCACAGAGGGGGACAAAGUCCGAAGGUCUGAAUGUCUUGGGAGCAAAUCUGAUAUUUGCCUGCAGCCGUUCAUGUAGGCGAUGGCCGAGCUAGCAGCUCUGAGACAGUCUGGAGGAUGUGUGGAUCCCAUUUAGAAAAAGUGCUGGUGUUGACAAGUCGCCACUUCGAUCCAUUACUGUGCAACAGAAACUCUACCACACCUACAGAGAUCUUACCAAUAUUGUGAAGGUCACCCCUGUCCACUGGAAGAUAAGACAAAGUAAUUCUUCUGUACUACACUAGAGCACAGCACAUCACAGAGCCAUUCAGCCUGAACCAACGAGAGCGGGGUUGAGGAGGGGUGAGGUUUGGCACAAAGUGGCUUACCUUUCAAGAGGCUUGACAUCCGCAACAAUACAGACCUCAUUAAAAGGUAGGGAUAUGCCCUCGCUGGCCAAUUUAAAACCUCUGGUCAACUGCGCUGCGACUAAUUUGCUAUCAGCAUCAGUGACGCCUCGCACAAACAGCUAAAUUAUGCCAGCAAUUUUAAGUGCAAAGAGUAAAUUAUCAUAUUUAAGACAUAUAGGAUUUAAAAGGAAAAAAAUGCAAUUUUUGGUAUAAAUUUUAUUAAGGAUGAUUUUCUGAUCCAUUCGAACUCUCCAUAUGAAAGACAAUCAUGGGUCAGGGCUUCUGGUGGGGAGGUAUGUGAAUUAUCUCUCUCCUCCAGCUCUCUGGAGCUUCUCUCUAUGAGGUGAGAAAAGCCUAAUUCCCACCUGACAAAGGGACAGAUUGGAUAUGUUCUUCGCCCUGCCCCAGAUAGUGCUGAAUACCAUAGAGUCAUUUCAAAUGUGAAGUUGGUCAAUGGCAGUCAUUACUCAUUCCUCCUCUGGACAACCUUGAAGACUUUGCCAGAGUUUUGAGAAUGGGGGAUGGUGGUCGUCUUCAUGCAAGUUCUAACUGAAUAUAGCUGUAUAUAUAUAUAUAUAAGCGAUAAAUGUAUUUUGCAUCUCUUCUGACCAUUUGUGACAGCAUUAUUGACCUUGUGUGAAUUUAAAUAGUUGAAUAUACUGAUGUAUGAGUUUAUUUUAGAUGAAAUUACAUAAUACUAUGGCCAUGCAAGUUGCCAAUGUAAUACUAUAAGGCAAUGUAAAAUGUAUUGUAUUGAAUUGCAAUAUAUAUUUUGUUAUUUAUUAAUGUUACUCUUUCGCCAUAUGAUAGCCAUAGUAUAAUACAGCCAAAAAACUUGAGUCUGAAAAGUUUUAGUCCUCAUAUGGCCCUACAAGAUGAAUAGGUCUUCCCAUGUGUAUGUGUUUCCCGAAAUAUAGCUUAAGCAAGCAAGCUUAUGGGAUCAGAAUAUGGACUGUUCUUUUGUGAACUUCCUUGAGGGACAGUAGCUGUCAAGUACAGAUAAUUAAGUUAACCAGCAUUGUAGCCCUUUCUUUGAAAGUGUUAAAUUGACAUACACAUUGUCUUGUUUUGACAGUUUGUCCAUUUGUCACUGUGGCUGUGACAUUUUCUCUUGCAGAAUUAUUGCAAAGGGAGUUGUGAAUCAUUUCCAGCUACUAUUUACAAUCGCCAAACUGAAAAAUUGUAAAAGUAUUCCAUUUUUCAUUUCAUUUGAUAGCAUUUGCUCUAAGAAUAUGGGCUAAGACGCUGAUGAUGCUUUCCAGAUGCCCCUAAGUGACACUUUUUCUUGUUUAACAAGAUGUUCAAUGUCAGUAGUUUUUUUCUAAUAUCAUUCAGCCCACAUUUUCCAAAACAUUUGCCAAAUCUGUACUUUUAGUCUGGCAGUAUUGUACCAAAUGCAGAACGAAAUCUGACACACUGAAGCUGAGAGAAAUAAACUUGUGUUUAUCUCUCUUGUGCAAACUUGAGUCCUGAUAUUUUUCCGUCUUUCUAGCCCUGGCUUCCACUCUCCAGCUGUCAUUCAUUUAUUUGCACAGAAGGACAGAUGCCAGCAAUCAGCAUUUUCCACACACAUCUACAUUACUCCAAAAUUUAAGAUGUCUAAUAAAAUUAAGGUAUGAUUUUAUUACAUUUGUUCCCAGAAAGAGCAAUAUUUAAGCCACUGUUACCCAGAGGCUCAUGCUCUACACUAUAUUACAUUUGCUAUUUGAUUUUCCCAUAAAUCUUCCAUUAAGACAUUGAUCAUGCUUUCAAAUGAAUGUGCUCCAAAGAUUUGAUAUUACCAUUAAACAUCCCCUUAGACUGACACUGAAUAAAAUAAAAUAAUAAUAAAAAUAAUUUUAUUUUAUGCCUGCCCCUCAGCCAUCCUAGAGAGGAAACUGGAGGAAAAGGCAACAGUUUUUUUUUUUUUUUUUCCUGAUGUAGAGCCUCCUCCAGGGGCCUUUUUUUAUUUUAUGUUAAUGUUUUUACUUUAUUAUUUUAUGUUAUUUUAUAUUAUGUUACGUUAUUUUGUUUUAUUUUAUUACUUAUUUUUUUAUUUUUUGUUACUUUUUUAUUUGUAAAAUUACAAUUAUAAAUAAAAUCAUGAAUAUUAAAUAAAUUAUCAUGUUUCUGUAUAAAUAUAAAAUUAUUUCAUUGUUUAAAUUAAAUUAAAACACAUUUCCUGUUUCUACAUUUUUUAGGAUGUUUACUGUAUAUGAGAAACACAAAUAUUGAAAAUAUAUUUUAUUAAACAGUAUAUUAUAAAAUUGUAUAUUUUAAAUUCUUAAUUCAUUUAAUGAGAGUCUAAAGUUGCAUUAGUGAACAGAGCGUGACUGAGAUUGCGAGAAACACAAAUAUUAAGUAUAUAGUAUAUUAUAAAAUAAAAUAAUUUCAUUUUUUUAUUUUUUUUAUUUUGAAUAAAUUUAAAUGAAAUACAAUUUUGAAAUGUCUAAAAUUGUGAACGGUGUCAAUGAACUAUUUUAUUUUUUAUUUUCCUGCUCCUCAGCCAUCCUAAAAGAAGAUUAUUCAUUUAUUUAUUUUUUGGCUGACGUGGAGCCUCUUCCUGUAGAGUCCCAGGGGCGUCCUUGAUGCUUGGGUUCCUAUUGUGCUUUCAUCCCGCUGCAGCCACACCUGCUCCGGGCCUGCUGAGCACUGGGUCCCCUGCCUCAGUCUCAGCACAAUGGGCUUCAUAUGCUGCUGAUCUGUGACACAUCUUCACCAAGCUGUGCAAAUACAUGCUUAAUUUGAGACCAUUUAGGGACCUCAAGACCGAAAGAAGUGAACUCAUUCUCAUGCUUCCAGAAUCAAUACCCAGCACUCCAGUCGACAUACCGGCCUGUGCGCCAAACUAGCCAGACAGAUGCUAAUUUGACUCACCUGGUACAUUUAGUUUGCCGUUCUGGAGUUCGGUGAUCGUUUCGCACAGUGAAAUAUUUCAAAUCAAGCAUGUGUAAAUAUUAGAGAAGACAAAAAUCUUCAAGUGUUUAAGAUGAGCUGAAGUUCAAGGUGAAAUCGGAGAGCCAGUUAGCCCUAAAAAAUGUUUACUUGUGGCAAGCCUCCAUGAAGGGCUGCGACGUCCUACAAGGCCACGGUCUGUGCUCCUUGUUUGCGCAAGCUGCACUGAGUCACAGUGGGUUAAACGGGUCUGUUUUUUCAUGCUCUGCCAAGCACCCCUUUGACAUUUAGCUCUGAUACAAAAAAAAUGCUAUGUGUUCUGUUGGGCUUAGACUUUCACAAAGCACACUUUUGAGGGGAUGAUACCAUACGAGAUUGCAGAACAGUCAAAAAAAAAAAAAGCAAUAAACGAUCAGUAGUUUUGCAUUACAUUACUAGGCUUGGUCUUUGAUGAUAAUUCUAAACAGGUAUU